rnacentral:rRNA from 1 species
UACGUAGGGGGCAAGCGUUGUCCGGAUUUAUUGGGCGUAAAGAGCGUGUAGGCGGCCUGAAAGGUCAGCUGUGAAAACUCGAGGCUCAACCUCGAGACGUCGGUUGAAACCAUCUGGCUAGAGUCCGGAAGAGGAGUGUGGAAUCCCCGGUGUAGCGGUGAAAUGCGCAGAUAUCGGGAAGAACACCCGUGGCGAAGGCGGCGACCUGGACGGACACUGACGCUGAGACGCGAAAGCGUGGGGAGCAAACAGG